rnacentral:misc_RNA from 1 species
UUGAAUAAACUUGGUUGGGUUGUUGCUGGCUUUCAGGAGCAUGUGCACGCUCAUUCCAUUUUUAACCACCUGUGCACCCACUGUAGGCUUGAAUAUGAACUUUUCGAGGAAACUCGGUUUGAGAACUGCUAGAAGCUGUUCUUUACAUUUCAGGUCUAUGUUUUUAAACACAUACUCUAUAACAAGUCAAGGAAUGUUAAUUAUUGGCCUUUAUGUGCCUUUAAACCCUAAUA